rnacentral:sRNA from 2 species
CCACCGGCCGCGCCGAGCCUCGUUCCGCCGGUGGGAACGACAAGCAAUCUAGGAACGAGGACGGGGGACCCAACCUCAUCCCCUGAGACCGGACACCACACCAGGUGUCCUCGGGGUUAAGUCCCGGAAGUCGCGGCAACCGCCACGACAACCGGGGCCGAGCACCUCUCGCUCGAACCCGACAGCUGACUUCGUAGGCGCGUGGAGAGAGGAAAU